GCUGCUCAUGGAUCUCAGACCAGACUGCCCCUCUAGCCAGGCUCUGCCCUGGGGCUCCAUGGUUGGACCCAGGGCUGGCUCAUGAUUUUUAGAGCCACUCCCACAGUUUGCUGUGUUGAAAGCAUCUCUGUGCUGAGGAAGUUGUGGAGGAGACCAGCUCUUGGAGGGUUCAUUGGUCUUUCAGCCCUAGACCUUACUCAAAUUUGGAAAGAAGAUCAUCCCAUCGAAAUCCCAAUUGAGUGUCCCACAGUGAAGCCUCAUUGAUUCCUUAACUUCAGGAGAAGAUAUGCCUGUGUUUUAUCAGCAACAGUUCCAAGCAGUCACCUGUUCAUUCCAUCAGACACUGAUCAGCUCUGAAAAAAGGAGGCCCAGUGAGAAGAGAAAUAACCUCAUCACCGUGCAGCCUUUGUGGCCAGAGCAGGAACAGAAGGAGCACUGCCAAGACACAGCUGUGUCUGCAAACUUACAGAGGCAAUUUGCCAGCAAAAGCCUCAUGGCAGCAUCAUGGUACAGUGUUCCUACUGACCUUCUGCAGUUCUUCCCUGUUCCAGCUCCCAGGAGGACAUUCAGUGAUGGCCAAGAUCAACAUUUCCAGCUAAUGCACUUCCUCCUACUUCUCAGCUGACUGGAAACAAUGGUCAUUUCUUUCCAUUUCCCUAAGAGACAUUGGACAUUAUUCUCUUGUUUUCUCAUGCUGCAAAACCCUGUGUCAAUGACUUGACAGAAUUUGGCUAAGGUUUGUUGAUUGUAAUUGGUCUUUUCUGGAUCUUAUCCCAGAUCUAACAGAUAACCAGCAAUAACCUUCAUGAGAUAAUACCCUCACAAGAGUGAGCUGUGCCAACAUCAGAACAGAUGAGCCUUUUUGAAAUUAACAAAAAGGGGGAGAUGUCCUAGACAGGUAGAAGAAUGAUCAAAGAAAGGCCUUAUGAAAUCAGGCCUUGUUCUGCUAUAUCAAUGCUGGCCUGUCAUCUCUUCUGAGUGCAGCUGAGCAGUUACAAGUUCCCAUGUGAAGCUAUUUUGAGAAUGAGACUUUGUGAACAAUCUCUUCUGAGGGUGAACAACAAAUGCACCUGCAACAACAAGGGGUUUGUCCCAUGAGAAUCAGUGAAGAGAACAGCUUUGGAGCCGGCCGCUUCAGCUCCCUUCUGCAGACAAAACAGAAAACACGGCUGAGAGUCAGCACCAGAAACUUGGGCUCACUAGUCCUGGCUGGCCCUGCACUUCAUUCCCUGACCCCGAGGCCAUUUCCGUGAAUUCUCCUCAACCCGCAGAGGUUGGGAACAUGCCAAGUGAGGGCAUUGCUGGAAGGGGACCUCCAGGACCAGCCAGACCCAAGCCUUGCCAUCAUAAGGUCCUGACUGUGCAAGCUCCCUCUCAAGGCACAGCCAGACACCUCCAGCCCGCUGCCAAAGGCUGAUCCAGCAGCUCUCUGCGCUGACGCCUGGAAACGCCCUUUGUCUCUUGACUUGCCAGUUGAAAGCAGAGCACAGAUUGCUGACAUCUGCUUAUCUCUCCUGCAAUUCUCACUCAGCUCAUUCAGCCCCCUUCUCCCUGGGCACAGCUGAAGCAUGAUUUUCAAGAGUUAAGGUUUCAGCUGAGGCUUAGAAGCAAUUCACACUGAUCAGGAUGUAAGUUAGAUAGGCAGAUGAUGGGUU